AGGCUCAUAGAAUGAACUGCAAGGAGCUAAGAAAGGGCGGGGCAUGGUAACAAAGGAGGAGGUGUCCCCUGCGUAAGGCUGCCCGGUGGGCGUGACCAUGUUCAGGGCGGGGCUUGAUAAAAAAAAUGGUCAGUGGAAACAUGCCUGGGGAGCGCAGGAGGGAGGGGUCCAGCUGUGUGAGGUGGGGGAGCGCGCUCUCUGGCCUGGAUUUUAGGCUGGAGAGACUAAUCCUGUGGCUGCAUUAGUCAUGUUAUGUUAUGUUGGCUAAAGUGGAUUGCAGAGGAUUUAAAAUGGAUUUAUGAGAAUACUGUAUAAAACAAAAGAAUUGAGAAAGACUUAGAAGGUAGCUAUGAGAAAAGUGGCUCAAGCCUCAGUAUAAGGCCAGGGUGAGCUGUACAGAGGGCUUAGGUAACACGCCAGGGCUUUAUGGAGCCCCAUGCCAUCUUGUGGGCCGCAGCUGGCAUUCCGUUCAAAUCAAUUAGUAUUGGUACAAUAAGUGGCAGUGUAGCCCUGGCCUUAGUGUACCCAGACAGGGCUUGUGGUACCUGGAAUCGUGCCAUACAAUCAGAGCGCAGGUCAGAGUGGGUAGAGGGGCACACUAUAUUAUGCCUGCAAGGGAUGUAGUGAUAUUACGUGUAACAGUGACCCAACCGGUGCUAGCUGUCAUGUCUCCAUGUAAAUAUGUCAUUGGCACCCACAGUGUCCCUGUAACCUGGGCUAUCUGGAGAGGCAUAAUCCAUAGUGCAGAAUGUGCCGCAGGUUUCUUUGUUUUCGGUGCAAACUGAAGCGGAGCGGCAUCAGCGGGACGCCAUCACAGGAGUUACUAGUGAUCAGCUGACCCCAAAGGUGACCUAUGGGCUCCCUGCUAGUCUCCCCCAUAUAAACCCUGGGUGGAGCUAGCUUCUCGCUCUUGUUCCUGAGGUCCAGUGCGGUCAAGUUGUCUUAGAGUGUGUGUCCAGAACAUUGGAGGCCUUAAGUCAAGUCCUGCAGCUACAAGUCAAGUCCUGCAGCCUCAAGAUAAGUCCUGCAGCCACAAGUGAAGUGCAAAGUAAGCUUAAGUCACAGUCCUGUCAGUCAAGUCAAGUCUUCUGGCUAUCCAGCGUGGCCUGCACUAAAUUCUCCUGUCUACUACAAGUCCCAGCAAACCUGCAAGGACUCUGUGUCACUGGUCACCUCCUUGGGCCCUGGCUGUACUGCAUAGACUGUAACAAUUGUCUACCCUCAGUAAAGCUACCGUUGUCCGAAA